AUGAAUUCACCUUGGAAUGUUUUAAAGGUUAGGGAGAACAUUCCAAAAUCUACAUUUUACCAUUCAACUAGAUAUUCAGGAAUAAACCUGAAGGAACCAAGUUUGAAGUUUUGGAUUGGAAGUCAUUUAAGGAGAGGAAAAACAUUCAGCCACCUGCUGAAGAACAUGCUGCAAUACUGUCCAUCUUCUGUUCAUCACAGUUGCAGGGCCACAGCCCAGCCUGCAGCUCUUCCCAAAGCUUUGCUUGUGGUAGCCCUUGACAAGGCCUUUGUCUUCUUGGAUGAAGUCUGUGCACAAUUUCCUGGCAAAAAAGCCAGAGUUAGCUCGGAGAUAGAUCUUUGAUCAAACAACAUCUGGAGACACUGAAAAAACUG
rnacentral:lncRNA from 1 species